rnacentral:rRNA from 1 species
UACGAAGGGGGCUAGCGUUGUUCGGAUUUACUGGGCGUAAAGCGCACGUAGGCGGAUCGAUCAGUCAGGGGUGAAAUCCCAGAGCUCAACUCUGGAACUGCCUUUGAUACUGUCGAUCUGGAGUAUGGAAGAGGUGAGUGGAAUUCCGAGUGUAGAGGUGAAAUUCGUAGAUAUUCGGAGGAACACCAGUGGCGAAGGCGGCGAUCUGGACGAUGACUGACGCUGAGACGCGAAAGCGUGGGGAGCAAACAGG